UGUCCCCUGGCAACGGGCAAAGAGACACCCUGUUGGUGUUGGUCUUAUAUCAGUCAGAGGCAAAGCAGUUGGCAGUCCUUUGUUCAUCCUAGUUUGAUACCUGGCUUGGUGGCCAAGGCUGUCUUAUGCCUAGGAUGAAUAA
ensembl:snoRNA LOC120102027 small nucleolar RNA SNORA48